GCCAGGCAUGGUGGCUCAUGCCUGUAAUCCCAGCACUUUGGGAGGCUGAGGCAGGCGGAUCACUUGAGGUCAGGAGUUCGAGACCAGCCUGGCCAACAUGGUGAAACCCUGUCUCUA
rnacentral:SRP_RNA from 1 species